AAGCUUAUGAAGCAAGACAGAAUAAAUUACCGACCUCUUAUUUGCGUAGGGCAGUGUACCCUAAUUUGCAUAAACAUGAGUAAUUUAUGAAUAAUAAAUGUCCUUGUUUUCAGCGUGAUCCAUUAAUUUGCAUAUCACCACGGCACUACAGUUAUUUUUCCUGUAUGCUGUGCUACCAUGAAGCGAUAAGAGCCUGCACAAAACAGAAUUAGAAGGCCAGCAAACAGAGGACACAAUAUGAGUUUCUCACCUCCAGUGGUGACUUAUGGGGAGUCAGCUCCUAUGGCCUAGACGGAACAUGCCUCCAGCCACUGCACCCGGCAACUAUCUCCAGCGGCAACAAUUCCCCAAUGACAAAUACUUCUGUAUAGGAUCCUCACUAUAGCCACACAUAUACCAAGACUAGCCGCACAAGAGCAGGGCAGAAAAGUGGUCAUGUCUGUGAUUGUUGAAAUAAAUCUCAUGUAUGAAGCAACUUC